UAUUUCCAAGUGAUUCAUGAUUAUGUGCCUCCCCCCUUAGGCUAAUCACCGCGGCAGGGGGCUUCCACCGCGAUGAAGAGUUGAAGGGGAGUUGGGUGGUGACUUGGAGCGGGAGACCCGCUCGCCCACGGCGCUGCUAUUGGUUUAUCCGUGACGUGAUGACAUGGAGGAGUCGGCUUGAGGACUUUAUAAAAGCUUCUGAGCGCGCGGCGAGCCACUCUACGAAACCAAGCCUGUUUAAAGAACCAACCUCAACUUAUAGGUGCAACAUGAGCGAGAGGCAAGGAGCCGGGCCUGCAGCUGGCAACAACAAAACCUCCGGACAAGGUAAGCUGCAUUCUCAUUCUUGAGGUCAAACAACACAGCAAACUUUUAGCAGCAUCGGAUAAUAAAGUGCAUUUGGGAAGCAUCGCUCGGCACACUUAGAUGUUGUCACUUUCUGUUUACCGCAAAGGUGCAGGUGACAAGAAACUAAACAGGUGAUUGAAAAACUCUCUUCAACCUUGAUUUCAAGGCAGUCUGAAAGGCAACCAUUGUCGACAACAAAGCGCCACUCUGGUUCAUUUGUUUUGGGAUUUGAUUUUAUUGCAUUCACAGAAUAUCAAACACAUCACAGUAGAAGAGAAGUUUUAAUGAAAUAUAAACAUCCUCAACCCACAAACAACCCCCCCCAAAAAUGCAUAUGCCAGCAAGUAUAUUGCUUGUG